rnacentral:misc_RNA from 1 species
AUUUACCCGCAGCUCGCGUUAAGGAUUGCAGUGAAAAGCCCGCAGCGCGCAGGCCCCGGCUGCAAAGGCAUGGCGAGGACUUGUAACGUAAAGCCUGACCGCCG